GCCUCAGUAGCCCAGUGGUAGAGCGUUUGCCUAGUAUCGCCAGCAAAAGGUCCAGUGUUCGACUCACUGUUGAGGCA
rnacentral:tRNA from 1 species